GACGAACGCUGGCGGCGUGCUUAACACAUGCAAGUCGAACGGAAAGGCCCUGCUUUUGUGGGGUGCUCGAGUGGCGAACGGGUGAGUAACACGUGGGUAACCUGCCCUUGACUUUGGGAUAACUUCAGGAAACUGGGGCUAAUACCGGAUAGGAGCUCCUGCUGCAUGGUGGGGGUUGGAAAGUUUCGGCGGUUGGGGAUGGACUCGCGGCUUAUCAGCUUGUUGGUGGGGUAGUGGCUUACCAAGGCUUUGACGGGUAGCCGGCCUGAGAGGGUGACCGGCCACAUUGGGACUGAGAUACGGCCCAGACUCCUACGAGAGGCAGCAGUGGGGAAUAUUGCACAAUGGGCGGAAGCCUGAUGCAGCAACGCCGCGUGCGGGAUGACGGCCUUCGGGUUGUAAACCGCUUUCGCCUGUGACGAAGCGUGAGUGACGGUAAUGGGUAAAGAAGCACCGGCUAACUACGUG
rnacentral:rRNA from 1 species